GGGAAUGCCUGGUAGCCGCCCAGGCGCACCCAGAAACCCUUUGUGAACUUAUACCUUACUGUUGCCUCGGCGCAUGCUGGCCCCCUCGGGGCCCCCUGGAGACAGGGAGCAGGCACGCCGGCGGCCAAGUUAACUCUUGUUUUUACACUGAAACUCUGAGAAAAAACACAAAUGAAUCAAAACUUUCAACAACGGAUCUCUUGGUUCUGGCAUCGAUGAAGAACGCAGCGAAAUGCGAUAAGUAAUGUGAAUUGCAGAAUUCAGUGAAUCAUCGAAUCUUUGAACGCACAUUGCGCCCUCUGGUAUUCCGGAGGGCAUGCCUGUUCGAGCGUCAUUUCAACCCUCAAGCAUUGCUUGGUGUUGGGGCACUGCUUUUAACGAAGCAGGCCCUGAAAUCUAGUGGCGAGCUCGCUAGGACCCCGAGCGUAGUAGUUAAACCCUCGCUUUGGAAGGCCCUGGCGGUGCCCUGCCGUUAAACCCCCAACUUCUGAAAAUUUGACCUCGGAUCAGGUAGGAAUACCCGCUGAACUUAAGCAUAUCAAUAAGCGGAGGAA
rnacentral:rRNA from 1 species